CCUACGGGUGGCUGCAGUGGGGGAUAUUGCACAAUGGGGGAAACCCUGAUGCAGCGACGCCGCGUGUGGGAAGACGGUCCUCUGGAUUGUAAACCACUGUUCCCAGGGACGAAGAUGACGGUACCUGGGGCGGAAGCUCCGGCUAACUACGUGCCAGCAGCCGCGGUAAUACGUAGGAAGCGAGCGGUGUCCGGAAUUACUGGGGGUAACGGGAGCGUAGGCGGGACUGCAAGUUGGGGGUCAAAUCUACCGGCUCAACCGGUAGCCGCACUCGAAACUGCAAUUCUUGAGUGAAGUAGAGGCAGGCGGAAUUCCUAGUGUAGCGGUGAAAUGCGUAGAUAUUAGGAGGAACACCAGUUGCGAAGGCGGCCUGCUGGGCUUUGACUGACGCUGAGGCUCGAAAGUGUGGGGAGCAAACAGGAUUAGAUACCCCUGUAGUC
rnacentral:rRNA from 1 species